rnacentral:rRNA from 1 species
ACCCUAAUUAAAUAUUUAGGGCGUUGCCUGCCCGGUGAUUUAUACGCCUAGACCAAAAAUCUAAUAAUUAAGUUUAACGGCCGCUGUAUUCUGACGGUGAUAAUGUAGGAAAAUAAAUAGUUGUUUGAUUGACGAACGUAGGUGAAUGGCUUCACGAGGUUUCCACUGUCUUAAUGGUAUACCCUUAGAAAUUUAAAUAACAGUGAAGAUGCUGUUUAAAACUGUAAGACGAGAAGACCCUAUAAAGCUUAACUAUAUUCUAUAUUACUUUAGUGAGGAUUAAGAACAAUUUUUACUGAAAUUUUAAUUAGGAGGUUAGUUUCGUUGGGGCAACGGCAUUUUAAAAAAAAAGAAUAGCAACCAAAACAUGUGCUGUUAAUACUUAAAAAUGUAGCACUUAUUGUUUAAUUAAACAAUUUAACAAUCACAAAGUGGGGUUAGUGACCUGUCAUUAGUACAAAAUUUCAAUGACAAUAAAUUAAUAAAAGCUACUUUAGGGAUAACAGGUUAAUUUUAUCUUAGAGAUGGUAUCGAAGAUAAAGUUUGACACCUCGAUGUUGAAUUAAGUUACCCUGGUAAUGCAGCAGUUACCGAAGGUUGGUCUGUUCGACCAUUAAAAAUCUU